GACACGGCCCAGACUCUACCGGGAGGCAGCAGUGGGGAUCUUGCGCAAUGGCGAAGCUGACGCAGCACGCGCGUGGGGGAUGACGCAUCGGGUGUAAACCUCUUUCGACAUCGACGAAGCCUUCGGGUGACGGUAGGUGUAGAAGAAGCACCGGGCUAACUACGUGCCAGCAGCCGCGGUAAUACGUAGGGUGCGAGCGUUGUCCGGAUUUAUUGGGCGUAAAGAGCUCGUAGGCGGUUUGUCGCGUCUAUCGUGAAAACCGGGAGCUUAACUCCUGGCUUGCGGUGGAUACGGGCAGACUUGAGUUCGGUAGGGGAGACUGGAAUUCCUGGUGUAGCGGUGAAAUGCGCAGAUAUCAGGAGGAACACCGGUGGCGAAGGCGGGUCUCUGGGCCGAUACUGACGCUGAGGAGCGAAAGCGUGGGGAGCGAACAGGAUUAGAUACCCUGGUAGUCCACGCCGUAAACGUUGGGCGCUAGGUGUGGGGAUGGGUUCCACUGUUUCCGUGCCGUAGCUAACGCAUUAAGCGCCCCGCCUGGGGAGUACGGCCGCAAGGCUAAAACUCAAAGGAAUUGACGGGGGCCCGCACAAGCGGCGGAGCAUGUGGAUUAAUUCGAUGCAACGCGAAGAACCUUACCUGGGUUUGACAUGCACUAGACAGCCCCUGAGAGGGGGUUUCCCUUGUGGUUGGUGUACAGGUGGUGCAUGGCUGUCGUCAGCUCGUGUCGUGAGAUGUUGGGUUAAGUCCCGCAACGAGCGCAACCCUUGCCCUAUGUUGCCAGCGGGUAAUGCCGGGGACUCGUGGGGGACUGCCGGGGUCAACUCGGAGGAAGGUGGGGAUGACGUCAAGUCAUCAUGCCCCUUAUGCCCAGGGCUUCACACAUGCUACAAUGGCCGGUACAGAGGGCUGCGAGAUCGUGAGGUUGAGCGAAUCCCUUAAAGCCGGUCUCAGUUCGGAUCGGGGUCUGCAACUCGACCCCGUGAAGUCGGAGUCGCUAGUAAUCGCAGAUCAGCAUUGCUGCGGUGAAUACGUUCCCGGGCCUUGUACACACCGCCCGUCACGUCAUGAAAGUCGGUAACACCCGAAGCCCAUGGCCCAACCCUUUGUUGGGGGGAGUGGUCGAAGGUGGAACUGGCGGAUUGGGAGGA
rnacentral:rRNA from 1 species